GAUGAACGCUGGCGGCGUGCCUAAUACAUGCAAGUCGAGCGAACGGACGAGAAGCUUGCUUCUCUGAUGUUAGCGGCGGAAGGGGGAGUAAAACGUGGAUAACCUACCUAUAAGACUGGGAUAAAUUCGGGAAACCGGAGCUAAUACCGGAUAAUAUUUUGAACCGCAUGGUUCAAAAGUGAAAGACGGUCUUGCUGUCACUUAUAGAUGGAUCCGCGCUGCAUUAGCUAGUUGGUAAGGUAACGGCUUACCAAGGCAACGAUGCAUAGCCGACCUGAGAGGGUGAUCGGCCACACUGGAACUGAGACACGGUCCAGACUCCUACGGGAGGCAGCAGUAGGGAAUCUUCCGCAAUGGGCGAAAGCCUGACGGAGCAACGCCGCGUGAGUGAUGAAGGUCUUCGGAUCGUAAAACUCUGUUAUUAGGGAAGAACAUAUGUGUAAGUAACUGUGCACAUCUUGACGGUACCUAAUCAGAAAGCCACGGCUAACUACGUG
rnacentral:rRNA from 1 species